AUGAAAGGAGCACAGACAGGUCGAAACCUCCUGAAGAAAAAAUCUGAUGCCCUAACUCUUCGAUUUCGACAGAUCCUAAAGAAGAUCAUAGAGACUAAAAUGUUGAUGGGUGAAGUGAUGAGAGAAGCUGCCUUUUCACUUGCUGAGGCCAAGUUCACAGCAGGGGACUUCAGCACCACAGUUAUUCAAAAUGUGAAUAACGCCCAAGUGAAGAUUCGAGCAAAGAAAGAUAAUGUGGCAGGUGUUACCUUGCCAAUAUUUGAACAUUACCAUGAAGGAACGGACAGUUAUGAACUGACUGGUUUAGCCAGAGGUGGGGAACAACUGGCUAAAUUAAAGAGGAACUACGCCAAAGCAGUGGAGCUACUGGUGGAACUCGCCUUGCUGCAGACUUCCUUUGUUACUUUGGAUGAAGCUAUUAAGAUAACCAACAGGCGUGUAAAUGCCAUUGAACAUGUCAUCAUUCCCAGGAUUGAACGCACCCUUGCUUAUAUCAUUGCAGAGCUGGAUGAGAGAGCGCGAGAAGAAUUCUAUAGGUUAAAGAAAAUACAUGAGAAGAAAAAGAUUCUCAAGGAAAAAACUGAGAGGGAAUUGGAGAAACGGAAGGUAGCUGGAGAGGUGAUGGAGCCUGCCAAUCUUCUGGCUGAAGAGAAGGAUGAGGAUCUUCUGUUUGAGUAAUCUUGCCUGCUCUGGUUCUUGCCUGCUCUGGUUCUUUCAGAAGUCCUGACGUGACAUCAUUUUAGUUCAGUGUGUAGGUUUGGUUCGUGUGGUUAGUUUUUGGUCUAAUUUCACUGGUUGUAAAACUUCCCUGGAUGUCCAUUUAUGGGAUUACUCUUGCAGAAUCCUAAUUUACCAACCAUUGAUCACAGAUGAGAUUUAGAGAACCUGCUUAGGAACUUGUAGAAUUUAUUCUGCAGAAGUGUCACCCUACCCCAAUUAUAAAUGGUUACAAGUGAUCAGCUUACCAAGCAUAUUAGGAAAUUCCCCGUAGGAACCACAGUGGUCUCAGGCCAAUACAAGGAGGCCAGCUACUGUAGGAGCACCCUCCAUUCCUACCCACACACACCCCUGGCGCUGCUGUCUGACAUAGCUGCAGCCAUCCUGUGUUUCUGUGGUACUUCUCCAGCUCUAGGAAAGCCUUCCCUUAAUUUACCUUGCAUGACAGGUCUCUGUUUGUUCUCUCUGUCAUGGAACAGUUGUGCCAAUUUGCAUGUGACUGUAGUAUAAACAGUAAAAUGAUUAAAAACAAAAACAAAAACCCACUGUC